rnacentral:rRNA from 1 species
UACGGAGGGUGCAAGCGUUAAUCGGAAUUACUGGGCGUAAAGCGCGCGUAGGCGGUUUGUUAAGUCAGAUGUGAAAUCCCCGGGCUCAACCUGGGAAUGGCAUUUGAGACUGGCAGGCUAGAGUAUGGUAGAGGUGAGUGGAAUUUCAGGUGUAGCGGUGAAAUGCGUAGAGAUCUGAAGGAACAUCAGUGGCGAAGGCGACUCACUGGGCCAUUACUGACGCUGAGGUGCGAAAGCGUGGGUAGCAAAC